GACAGAGGGUGCAAACGUUGUUCGGAAUUACUGGGCGUAAAGCGCGUGUAGGCUGCUCCGAAAGUCGGAUGUGAAAGCCCUGGGCUCAACCUAGGAAGUGCACUCGAAACUUCGGAGCUGGAGCCUGGAGAGAAAGGCGGAAUUCUCGGUGUAGAGGUGAAAUUCGUAGAUAUCGAGAGGAACACCGGUGGCGAAGGCGGCCUUCUGGACAGUGGACUGACGCUGAGACGGCGAAAGCGUGGGGAGCAAACAGG
rnacentral:rRNA from 1 species